UACGUAGGGGGCGAGCGUUGUCCGGAAUGACUGGGCGUAAAGGGCGUGUAGGCGGCUUUGUAAGUCUGGAGUGAAAGUCCUGUUUUCAAGGUGGGAAUUGCUUUAGAUACUGUAGAGCUUGAGUGCGGAAGAGGUAAGUGGAAUUCCCAGUGUAGCGGUGAAAUGCGUAGAGAUUGGGAGGAACACCAGUGGCGAAGGCGACUUACUGGGCCGUAACUGACGCUGAGGCGCGAAAGCGUGGGUAGCGAAC
rnacentral:rRNA from 1 species